CCUGUUCCCGGUUCAUACGAAUGCUGUGCGGUACAUUGACUAUAUGAACAGAGCUGCCCAGAUAGCCAUCCCAUGGAGUCCAUUCGUAUGACGAAUACACUAUGUGCAAGACUUCAGCUCCAUGGCGAUUGAACUUUGUGUAUGGGAUCUGAGCGCUAUUCGGUGAUAUUGUGCACUCAGAACUGGUGAUACGUUGAAUGUGGGGAUUUUGUUCGGUAGUUUGGGAACUAUAUAUUUUUAUUGUAUUUUACUAUGCCUGUAAAAUGGAGGUUAUGCUCUAUCCCUGGAGGUAAUUGAGUUACUUCUAGCACUUAACCCAAUUACCUCCAGGAUAGAGAGGAGGGUUUGUAAUGUCCAUGUGGGCGUGUUUAUCCAUGUGUCUGUUUGUGAUUGGUUAAUGCAUAAAAUUGUCCCAGUCUUCCACAAGGUCCCUACGGGAGUGUCCCUUGCUGGAAGACCUGCAUAAAAGAUGGGCAUGUAGCCCACAUUAAAGGACCGCUAUAGUGCCAGGAAAACAUACUCGUUUUCCUGGCACUAUAGUGCCCUGAGGGUGCCCCCACCCUCAGGGUCCCCCUCCCGCCCGGCUCUGGAAAGGGGAAAGGGGUUAAAACUUACCUUUUUCCAGCGCUGGGCGGGGAGCUCUCCUCCCAUGCGGCUGAAUGCGCACGCGCGUCAAGAGCUGCGCGCGCAUUCAGCUGGUCACAUAGGAAAGCAUUCAUAAUGCUUUCCUAUGGACGCUGGCGUGCUCUCACUGUGAAAAUCACAGUGAGAAGCACGCAAGCGCCUCUAGUGGCUGUCAAUGAGACAACCGCUAGAGGGAAUGGGGGAAGGCUUAAC